ensembl:antisense Gm29123 predicted gene 29123
AGAGGAGCAAGUGAAGCCCCAGGUAGCAGCCUCACAGGGACAGUAAGAACGAGCUGUCUCCUACAGCAAGAGCACAGGCCAGGAGGUUUACCUUCUACUCUGCAAGCUCAGAGGACUUUGGAUCUGUCAGUUAAAACAAACAAUAUAUGUUUGGAGGGGUCUAAAACCCUCCCUGGUCCCCACAAGAACCACCUGAGGGAGGAGCCAGCACCGGAAAUUAUCCCAGUCAGCAAUGCACCCACACCCUUGUCCAGUGUCCCUCUCCCCAGAAGUUCAAGUUUGAACACUUGGUCCCUCUGACUGGCUCUCAGAAGACCAAAGAGGGAGAAGAACAUUCUUGAAAUGGCUAUGCUUCAUGGGCACUGCCCAUGUGCCAGGAACAGAGCCAGGCACUGCUUGGCAUACCACCCAUGAAAUCUCACCAAAGGAGGACCCAGCGUCUCCCAGGUUGAGAAGAGGAACCAAGACCUCAGAGAUCCGGCCACUGGUUGGUCGGAAGCCAGAAGCCAAGCUCUUAACCACAGGUAGCUUUCCUCCUUCAAAUGUCACCUUGAGAAGUGAGCAGAGACGCGCCCUCAACCCAGAGACCAAGGUUAAUUUCUAACCCGGAGCAGCCAACCUUGAGAGUUCAGGAAGUGGGUUGGUUUUUUCCUCUGUCUGUUUCAUUGAACUACCUAGAACCAGGUGUUCUUCAUCUCCCACCCCACCUAGUACAACUCCUCAAUUGCAUAAUGAGCCUCUGACUAUGGCAAAAAUAAGGGCAGAUCCAAAUAAAUCCAUUCUUAUUCAUUAAAAGUAGAUUUUAAAAGUUGGGCAUUUAAUUUAAUGCAUUUAAUUUUAGUAUGCAGUCAGAGGCAGGCAGAUCUCUGAGCUCAAAGUCAGCCUGAUCUAUGUGGAGAGACCUGUCCAAUACAAAACAAACAAGACGUUUAAAAGUACUUUUGGGGAUGGAGAGAUGACUUAGUGGUUAAGAGCACUGAAUGCUCUUCCAGAGGUCCUGACUUCAAUUCCCAGCAACCACAAGGUGGCUCACAACCAUCUGUAAUGGAAUGUGAUGCCCUCUUCUGGGGUGUCUGAAGACAACUACAGUGUACUCAUAUACAUAAAAUAAAUAUAUUUUUUUAAAGUACUUCUGUAGCUGGAGUAGAAAUCUGUCCUGGAGAAGAUUUGGGAUGGGCAAGGUGCUAACUCUGAAAUCAGCCAAGACACCAGGGUCUUUCUGCCUAAGGAACAGACCCUUCAGUCCAGAGAACAGGAGGAUGGAUAAGAACAGACAGUGGGCAGGGCUGCAGCAAGGAACAGGCUAAGCAGUAGUUCCCUGAAACACCACUACAAGCAUCUGCUACAGAGAAGCCCUCUGGAUACCCCCACCCGUACCCCUCCAGGAGGCACUCAUCUGCCCACAAGCCAUCCUUCUAUCCUUCUUCCAGGGCAGAGCAUGGAGCUUCCUGCCUACUCUCAGUCCACAGCGUGGCCUGGAAUCCUUCAUGUGCAAUCUUCCAAGCAUAGAAAGAGCCCCAGCCACGAGCCCUGAAAUCCCUCCUUUGUACAACUCGACCAAGAACAGAGGGAAAAUGGCACCCAUUCUUCUCAGUCUGAAUGGCUGGAAAAUGGCUUUUGCUUUUCAACAUGAAAUGUGCCUAAAAAUAAGCUGUGAAUCUCAACCAGAGGUUGAAAAUAGCUCCACAGUGAGCACAGCUCCUCUCCGAGUGAGUUUAAGAACAGCCUUCAUUCCAGGAUCUGAAAGCUGAAACGUCACGUUCAGAGACGAGGUCACAGGCAGGGCGGCUCAAGGGUGAAAGACCUCCAAAGGCUCACAAGGUUGUCCUUGCCAGUCUCUGCUAGGAGAUGCGGGAGCAGCAAGGAUCCAGGCAAGGUCUGUCCCUCUGGUUUUCAAUGGCCACACUGGAGAAAGCACAAGUCAGAAGUUUCACAUGUGCUUGGCCCCAUGAACUCCCUGACAAUCCUAAGUGCCUAGGAGCGUACACCUUGUUUUAGUGAUUGGGAGACAGAGAUAAGGGGCAAAGGGUAUCAGAGUGGCAGCACAGUUACUUCUCCAUGACUUGAGAGUAAGCCAUCCUGCCACCCACAGGCCCCUCAUCAGGCAUUGCCUCUGAGUCAGAUAGCCUCUGGGCAGGAAGGGCAAUACACAGCCAAUCUGAAGGAAAUCCAGCUGCUAAAGGUGAAGAGUCUUUUCUUAUUGUUUACCAAUAUCUCUAGGAGAGUCUGAAAUCUGAUAGGCCAAACAGCAUUCCUACAAAAUGGUCUAAGAGCUGAGAGCUCUGGUCCACAUCUUCUGGUGGGAAUCCAAACCUGACCCAAGUGAACAGAACCCUUGCGCAGGCUCCUAGAGCAGCCUACCUCAGUUCCCACAGCCUCACCCCACGGCUCCCAACUGCUUUCUCUCUGGGCUCCUCUGGAAGGAGGAGGUUUUGUAGUGAUUCUCAAUGGUGACACCUGACAACAGCUGAAGACAUUUCUGGUCGUCACAACUGGGAAGCAGGAUGCUAUUGGCACAUAUCAGGUAAGGCCAGGGAUGCUAAAGACAUCAUGGUGCACGGGACUGCACUCAAAGAAUAUCUGCCCCAAAUGCAGACUGCAACCUAGAGUUACUGGAAGGAUGGGAUGUGGGCAGAGAUGAGGCGUGGAAGCCUGUCAGACCUGGUUCACAGGACAGAGCAGAGCCUGAGCUCCCCUGAGGAGCCAAGCUCUUUGGCCAUGCAGGGGACCUAAGUGCCAGGGAAGAAGGGAACUCACUACCCAGCUCCCUUCCUACCUCAGGAGAGAACCUAGCCAUCACAGUUUUGAAAAAACUUACUGUUUCCAGCACAGGAGAAUGAAAAACUUGUGGCGGUGGAUGCCGACGGCUUACUAAGACUGACACUGACACAUGGCUAAAACGGUCAAUUUAUAUAUAUAUAUGUAUACAUACAUACACAUAUGUAUAUAUGUAUAUUAUAUGUGUGUGUGUGUAUAUAUAUAUAUAUAUACACAUACAUACAUAUAUACAUACAUAUAUAUAUAUAUGAGAAUGAAUGAGAGAUCUCCAUAUAUAACCCUACAAUAAAACCGAGCAGAACAAUACCCUGGGCUGCCUUCUUUUUCCCCUUUCAGAGAAACCAACCCCUCAGGCAGCAUUAGGUGUGUGUGUUGGGGGGAGGGGGGCUGUCUAGAAGGCACACCUGUUCUCUCAAGGCUCUAGAAGGGAUUUAAGACAAAGAACAAGAAGUUCCUAUCUCAACCAAGAAUAACGCUAAGAUUACUGUGUCACUUUAGGUGCAAGACACACCUGUGAGUACUCUGAACCCCUGAAGAAAUGGCGGCUUGGGAAGAUGGGGUGCUUGCCCAGGACUACCCAGCAGGGUUCAGAGGCAGCUCCAUGACACCAGAACUCAUAUCCUGUCCCCUGUUGAGUCCCAUGUAGGGCGGCCCAUUGGUGGGACUAUAGCAAUAGUCCUGAUGUGGGCCUCAAAGCAGAUUGGGGACAACUGGCUACCUUGAGUCCUGUUGAGCCCUUCACUUCCAGUUCUCCAUUCUGUCACGCUGGCUUCCUCUACCCACGUGACUACACCCAAGACUCUCAGGCCCUGAAGCUCUGGGAAACAAGGCGGGUGUGUUCCCCAUUCUGAGUGGGGCUGAGGGACAACAGGCAGUUUGUCCAAGUUAGUUUCCUAAUAACUAU